rnacentral:rRNA from 1 species
GAGUUUGAUCCUGGCUCAGGACGAACGCUGGCGGCGUGCUUAACACAUGCAAGUCGAACGGUGAAGUCCCAGCUUGCUGGGAUGGAUCAGUGGCGAACGGGUGAGUAACACGUGAGCAACCUGCCCUCCACUUCGGGAUAAGCCUUGGAAACGGGGUCUAAUACCGGAUAUGAGCCUGCAUCGCAUGGUGUGGGUUGGAAAGUUUUUCGGUGGGGGAUGGGCUCGCGGCCUAUCAGCUUGUUGGUGGGGUGAUGGCCUACCAAGGCGUCGACGGGUAGCCGGCCUGAGAGGGCGACCGGCCACACUGGGACUGAGACACGGCCCAGACUCCUACGGGAGGCAGCAGUGGGGAAUAUUGCACAAUGGGCGCAAGCCUGAUGCAGCGACGCCGCGUGAGGGAUGACGGCCUUCGGGUUGUAAACCUCUUUCAGCAGGGAAGAAGCGCAAGUGACGGUACCUGCAGAAGAGGCGCCGGCUAACUACGUGCCAGCAGCCGCGGUAAUACGUAGGGCGCAAGCGUUGUCCGGAAUUAUUGGGCGUAAAGAGCUCGUAGGCGGUCUGUCGCGUCUGGUGUGAAAUCCCGAGGCUCAACCUCGGGCUUGCAUCGGGUACGGGCAGACUAGAGUGCGGUAGGGGAGACUGGAAUUCCUGGUGUAGCGGUGGAAUGCGCAGAUAUCAGGAGGAACACCGAUGGCGAAGGCAGGUCUCUGGGCCGCAACUGACGCUGAGGAGCGAAAGCAUGGGGAGCGAACAGGAUUAGAUACCCUGGUAGUCCAUGCCGUAAACGUUGGGCACUAGGUGUGGGGCUCAUUCCACGAGUUCCGUGCCGCAGCUAACGCAUUAAGUGCCCCGCCUGGGGAGUACGGCCGCAAAGGCUAAAACUCAAAGGAAUUGACGGGGGCCCGCACAAGCGGCGGGAGCAUGCGGAUUAAUUCGAUGCAACGCGAAGAACCUUUACCAAGGCUUGACAUGCACCGGAAACACUCAGAGAUGGGUGC